rnacentral:rRNA from 1 species
GACAUAGGUCGCAAACGUUAUCCGGAAUUAUUGGGCGUAAAGGGCGCGUAGGCGGUGCGGUAAGUCACCUGUGAAACCUCUAGGCUCAACCUAGAGCCUGCAGGCGAAACUGCCGUGCUUGAGGGUGGGAGAGGUGCGUGGAAUUCCCGGUGUAGCGGUGAAAUGCGUAGAUAUCAGGAGGAACACCUGUGGUGUAGACGGCUUACUGGACCAUUACUGACGCUGAGGCACGAAAGCGUGGGUAGCAAACAGG